UAUAUCCGUGAUAAACAAGAAAAUAUAGAAUAAAAAAUAAUUGUUUAACUAUCAAUUUUCAAAACGUCAGCAAAAGAAUACGUUAAAAAUUAGAAAUGACUUUUUUGUAAAUCAAGAAAGCAGUAAAACAUGGUUAAAUUCGAGAAGCACUUUGUCGUAAACAAGGCACUUCACCUUCGAGCACUUAAUAGAAACUUUUCCGGAUUAGCCUUACAUUCUUCGCCGAUUUAUAUAUCCCUACUUAGCUUAAAAAGUUUCAAUCUCUAAAAUGUUUCACACUAAUCGUGUGGAAAAGAUAAAAAUUGAUGGAAGCGAAUAAAGGAGGUCCUCCAGUGACCGAUCCAAAUUGAUAAUAAUGUUCCACGUCACUUUUGUAGCAAGAGGCAAAAGGAAAUUGAAUUGUGUAUCUGAAAAUCACUUUCACGUCGUGAAAUUGCCCGUUUUUCCCAUAAAAAGCAUAAUACCACACGCUCUUGUCAAUCAAGUUUUCGAUUACGAACUAAACUCGAUUCUUAUUGCACCACAGAGACAUUUACUCAUUAUAGAGUUGAAACCAAGGCCGCAACAUAUACAACAAGGAGCGGGCAUUAGCGAAACAACAAUUAGAAACAAUUAGUCGGAUCGGUCGAGUGAAGCUACAACUGUUGCACGGUGUCGCCUUAAAAGUCGCCAUGAAUCAGACCGACCGCUAAUUGAUGCGUUCGUUCGUUCCACAAUGUAGGAAUUGUUUACAUUGCGGAUGUGGAUGUACUUUUACAUUUAUCUCUGGUUUUGCUCGUUUCUAGCUUCGUUUAACGUUCGUCAUUUUAAUGUAGCAAAAAUAAAUCUAUUCAGCAAAGUGAAUAAUUUAAUGUAAGAAUUUUGGUCACGCGACCGCUUUGAAAACGUAAACGAACGUUUACACGUGCAAUUAAGCAAAUACACAUUUUACAAGUUUUUCCGGAAAACGCGAGCAAAAAAGAAGGCACGAGGAAUGUUCAAAUCUAACGAAUGACACAUUCAAAUGAAUGAAUGUGAAGUUAUUUUCGAACACCGUGUGCGGUGUUAAAUAUACACUAUCGGUCAUAUGUAGAGCGAAAAAAUUUAUUAAAACAACGAUUCUUUUUAAUUUAAAUAAAUUUUAUAAUUAAUUAUUAAGUGUCUAAUUAUUUCGUACCUCUAUUUAUAUAUGGAUAUCUUUACUUAUUGUACAUUAUAUAACUUUUUAUUUCUAGCAGGGUUCCUAAGUGAAGCAACUAAAUGUCAGUAUGUCGAAGACUAAAAGAACGUUGUCUCUAUAUAGAAGAAAAUCAGGAACAAAGCCCUUAAUUUCUGCUACUGGACACGUGGGCAAUGGAAAACAAUAUUUUCCGAUGAAAGUCGGUUCCUACUAUUUAAAUUUGAUGACAUUUCAUGGGUGAGAAGAUCAGUUAAUAAAAGGUAUUAUUCCAAGUACACUAGACCUACUGUGAAGCAUGGUGAAGAAAGUUUUAUGGUUUAGGGAUGUGGUUUUCUGGGUUUGACAUAGACCCGCUGGUUAAGAAGAAAUAAUCACUGGAAACAAAGAUCCAACGAUUUUAUUGAAAAAAGUUUCAGAUUGAUGCAGUGAAAGCCGAUAUCGCUGAGAAAAUGCAACUGCUGCGAAUUCCUUUAGUUAAAUGUGGAACAAAAGAAAUAUAUUUCUUCAUAUAAUUAUUUUGUUUUAGCGAAAAAUAUAGUUAACAAAAUCAUUAUUGUUUAUUCCUCGACUAUUUUUACCGAGGCGGGAAUAGAUACGAGACAAGGGAAAUUAGUAAAAAUGAACGUGAACGUUAAUUAGGAAACGCAUUCAUUAAAAUAGUAUAGCAUGUAAUAAGGAUACAAAUUACAUGUUGGUAUAAAAACAAAAUAAAUAAACAACAGUAAUCAUUAGACA